rnacentral:rRNA from 1 species
AUGCACGCUGGCGGCGUGCCUAAUACAUGCAAGUCGAGCGAACAGAUGAGGAGCUUGCUCCUCUGACGUUAGCGGCGGACGGGUGAGUAACCCGUGGAUAACCUACCUAUAAGACUGGGAUAACUUCGGGAAACCGGAGCUAAUACCGGAUAAUAUAUUGAACCGCAUGGUUCAAUAGUGAAAGACGGUUUUGCUGUCACUUAUAGAUGGAUCCGCGCCGCAUUAGCUAGUUGGUAAGGUAACGGCUUACCAAGGCAACGAUGCGUAGCCGACCUGAGAGGGUGAUCGGCCACACUGGAACUGAGACACGGUCCAGACUCCUACGGGAGGCAGCAGUAGGGAAUCUUCCGCAAUGGGCGAAAGCCUGACGGAGCAACGCCGCGUGAGUGAUGAAGGUCUUCGGAUCGUAAAACUCUGUUAUUAGGGAAGAACAAAUGUGUAAGUAACUAUGCACGUCUUGACGGUACCUAAUCAGAAAGCCACGGCUAACUACGUG